rnacentral:rRNA from 1 species
UCAUCUUCGGGGGUAGAGCACUGUUUCGGCUAGGGGGUCAUCCCGACUUACCAACCCGAUGCAAACUACGAAUACCGAAGAAUGUUAUCACGGGAGACACACGGCGGGUGCUAACGUCCGUCGUGAAGAGGGAAACAACCCAGACCGCCAGCUAAGGUCCCAAAGUCAUGGUUAAGUGGGAAACGAUGUGGGAAGGCACAGACAGCCAGGAUGUUGGCUUAGAAGCAGCCAUCAUUUAAAGAAAGCGUAAUAGCUCACUGGUCGAGUCGGCCUGCGCGGAAGAUGUAACGGGGCUAAACCAUGCACCGAAGCUGCGGCAGCGACACUAUGUGUUGUUGGGUAGGGGAGCGUUCUGUAAGCCUGCGAAGGUGUGCUGUGAAGCAUGCUGGAGGUAUCAGAAGUGCGAAUGCUGACAUAAGUAACGAUAAAGCGGGUGAAAAGCCCGCUCGCCGGAAGACCAAGGGUUCCUGUCCAACGUUAAUCGGGGCAGGGUGAGUCGACCCCUAAGGCGAGGCCGAAAGGCGUAGUCGAUGGGAAACAGGUUAAUAUUCCUGUACUUGGUGUUACUGCGAAGGGGGGACGGAGAAGGCUAUGUUAGCCGGGCGACGGUUGUCCCGGUUUAAGCAUGUAGGCUGGUUGUCCAGGCAAAUCCGGAUAAUCAAGGCUGAGGUGUGAUGACGAGGCACUACGGUGCUGAAGUAACAAAUGCCCUGCUUCCAGGAAAAGCCUCUAAGCAUCAGGUAACAUUAAAUCGUACCCCAAACCGACACAGGUGGUCAGGUAGAGAAUACCAAGGCGCUUGAGAGAACUCGGGUGAAGGAACUAGGCAAAAUGGUGCCGUAACUUCGGGAGAAGGCACGCUGGUGUGUAGGUGAAGNUGGAGCUGAGACCAGUCGAAGAUACCAGCUGGCUGCAACUGUUUAUUAAAAACACAGCACUGUGCAAACACGAAAGUGGACGUAUACGGUGUGACGCCUGCCCGGUGCCGGAAGGUUAAUUGAUGGGGUUAUCCGUAAGGAGAAGCUCUUGAUCGAAGCCCCGGUAAACGGCGGCCGUAACUAUAACGGUCCUAAGGUAGCGAAAUUCCUUGUCGGGUAAGUUCCGACCUGCACGAAUGGCGUAAUGAUGGCCAGGCUGUCUCCACCCGAGACUCAGUGAAAUUGAACUCGCUGUGAAGAUGCAGUGUACCCGCGGCAAGACGGAAAGACCCCGUGAACCUUUACUAUAGCUUGACACUGAACAUUGAGCCUUGAUGUGUAGGAUAGGUGGGAGGCUUUGAAGCGUGGACGCCAGUCUGCGUGGAGCCAACCUUGAAAUACCACCCUUUAAUGUUUGAUGUUCUAACGUUGGCCCCUUACCGGGGUUGCGGACAGUGUCUGGUGGGUAGUUUGACUGGGGCGGUCUCCUCCCAAAGCGUAACGGAGGAGCACGAAGGUUAGCUAAUCCUGGUCGGACAUCAGGAGGUUAGUGCAAUGGCAUAAGCUAGCUUGACUGCGAGCGUGACGGCGCGAGCAGGUGCGAAAGCAGGUCAUAGUGAUCCGGUGGUUCUGAAUGGAAGGGCCAUCGCUCAACGGAUAAAAGGUACUCCGGGGAUAACAGGCUGAUACCGCCCAAGAGUUCAUAUCGACGGCGGUGUUUGGCACCUCGAUGUCGGCUCAUCACAUCCUGGGGCUGAAGUAGGUCCCAAGGGUAUGGCUGUUCGCCAUUUAAAGUGGUACGCGAGCUGGGUUUAGAACGUCGUGAGACAGUUCGGUCCCUAUCUGCCGUGGGCGCUGGAGAAUUGAGGGGGGCUGCUCCUAGUACGAGAGGACCGGAGUGGACGCAUCACUGGUGUUCGGGUUGUCAUGCCAAUGGCACUGCCCGGUAGCUAAAUGCGGAAGAGAUAAGUGCUGAAAGCAUCUAAGCACGAAACUUGCCCCGAGAUGAGUUCUCCCUGAGACUUUAAGUCUCCUGAAGGAACGUUGAAGACGACGACGUUGAUAGGCCGGGUGUGUAAGCGCAGCGAUGCGUUGAGCUAACCGGUACUAAUGAACCGUGAGGCUUAACCUU